GACGAACGCUGGCGGCGUGCCUAAUACAUGCAAGUAGAACGCAGUUUCGAACGGGUGAGUAACGCGUAGGUAACUGCCUCAUAGCGGGGGAUAACUAUUGGAACCGAUAGCUAAUACCGCAUACUGUGAGCUGGACCUUCGUUGUAUUCGCUAGUUGGUGAGGUAAAGGCUCACCAAGGCGACGAUACAUAGCCGACCUGAGAGGGGGAUCGGCGAAACUGGGACUGAGACACGGCCCAGACUCCGAAGGGAGGCAGCAGUAGGGAAGCUUCGGCAAUGGACGGAAGUCUGACAGAGCAACGACGCGGGAGUGAAGAAGGGGUUAGGAUCGUAAAGCGCGGGUGUUAGAGAAGCGGUAACUAAACAGAAAGGGACGGCUAACUACGUGCCAGCCGCCGCGGUAAUUC
rnacentral:rRNA from 1 species